rnacentral:misc_RNA from 1 species
GAAAUGCGAUAAGUAAUGUGAAUUGCAGAAUUCAGUGAAUCAUCGAAUCUUUGAACGCACAUUGCGCCCGCCAGUAUUCUGGCGGGCAUGCCUGUUCGAGCGUCAUUUCAACCAUCAAGCCCCCGGCUUGUGUUGGGGACCUGCGGCUGCCCGCAGACCCUGAAAAACAGUGGCGGGCUCGCUGUCACACCGAGCGUAGUAGCAUACAUUCUCGCUCAGGGCGUGCUGCGGGUUCCGGCCGUUAAACGACCUUCAUAACCCAAGGUUGACCUCGGAUCAGGUAGGAAGACCCGCUGAACUUAAGC